rnacentral:rRNA from 1 species
GAUGAACGCUGACAGAAUGCUUAACACAUGCAAGUCAACUUGAACUUCGGUUUGGGUGGCGGACGGGUGAGUAACACGUAAAGAACUUGCCUCACAGUUAGGGACAACAUUUGGAAACGAAUGCUAAUACCUGAUAUUAUGAUUUUAGGGCAUCCUAGAAUUAUGAAAGCUAUAUGCGCUGUGAGAGAGCUUUGCGUCCCAUUAGCUAGUUGGAGAGGUAACGGCUCACCAAGGCGAUGAUGGGUAGCCGGCCUGAGAGGGUGAACGGCCACAAGGGGACUGAGACACGGCCCUUACUCCUACGGGAGGCAACAGUGGGGAAUAUUGGACAAUGGACCAAGAGUCUGAUCCAGCAAUUCUGUGUGCACGAUGAAGUUUUUCGGAAUGUAAAGUGCUUUCAGUUGGGAAGAAAAAAAUGACGAUACCAACAGAAGAAGUGACGGCUAAAUACGUG